AACAGUUGCUAAGACUGGAUAGGAAAUUAGAAGGCAUCUUUUAAUUUUUAAAAGACCUUUUUCGAAAGGUAUACUUAAAGAGGGGCUUGCGGCACAUUAGUUAGUUGGUAGGGUAAAAGCCUACCAAGACCAUGAUGUGUAGCUGGACUGAGAGGUUGAACAGCCACAUUGGGACUGAGACACGGCCCAAACUCCUACGGGAGGCAGCAGUAGGGAAUUUUCGGCAAUGGAGGAAACUCUGACCGAGCAACGCCGCGUGAACGAUGAAGUAUUUCGGUAUGUAAAGUUCUUUUAUUGAAGAAGAAAAAAUAGUGGAAAAACUAUCUUGACGAUAUUCAAUGAAUAAGCCCCGGCAAACUAUGUGCCAGCAGCCGCGGUAAUACAUAGGGGGCGAGCGUUAUCCGGAAUUAUUGGGCGUAAAGGGUGCGUAGGCGGUUUGGUAAGUCUAUAGUUUAAUUUCAGUGCUUAACACUGUUCUGCUAUAGAAACUAUCAGACUAGAGUGAGAUAGAGGCAAGUGGAAUUCCAUGUGUAGCGGUAAAAUGCGUAAAUAUAUGGAGGAACACCAGAGGCGUAGGCGGCUUGCUGGGUCUUUACUGACGCUGAGGCACGAAAGCGUGGGGAGCAAACAGGAUUAGAUACCCUGGUAGUCCACGCCGUAAACGAUGAGUACUAAGUGUCGGGGAAACUCGGUACUGAAGUUAACACAUUAAGUACUCCGCCUGAGUAGUACGUACGCAAGUAUGAAACUUAAAGGAAUUGACGGGACUCCGCACAAGCGGUGGAUCAUGUUGUUUAAUUCGAAGAUACACGAAAAACCUUACCAGGUCUUGACAUACUCUGCAAAGCUAUAGCAAUAUAGUGGAGGUUAUCAGGGAUACAGGUGGUGCAUGGUUGUCGUCAGCUCGUGUCGUGAGAUGUUAGGUUAAGUCCUAAAACGAGCGCAACCCUUGUCACUAGUUGCCAGCAUGUUAUGAUGGGCACUUUAGUGAGACUGCCAAUGAAAAAUUGGAGGAAGGUGAGGAUCACGUCAAAUCAUCAUGCCCCUUAUGAUCUGGGCUACAAACGUGAUACAAUGGCUGUUACAAAGAGUAGCUAAAACGCGAGUUUAUAGCCAAUCUCAUAAAAGCAGUCUCAGUUCGGAUUGAAGUCUGCAACUCGACUUCAUGAAGUUGGAAUCGCUAGUAAUCGCGAAUCAGCAUGUCGCGGUGAAUACGUUCUCGGGGUUUGUACACAC
rnacentral:rRNA from 2 species